AUUCCAGCUCCAAUAGCGUAUAUUAAAGUUGUUGCAGUUAAAAAGCUCGUAGUUGGAUUUCUGGUUGAAGCGACCGGUCGGGCGUUGAUUCGUCUGCACUGGAGUCGGUUUUGGCCAUCCUCUAGGAAAGUGCGUCUGGUAUUAAGUUGUCGGGCGUAUGAUCCUGGUCUUUUACUGUGAAAAAAUUAGAGUGUUUAAAGCAGGCCUUCGCCUUGAAUACAUUAGCAUGGAAUAAUAAGAUAGGACUUUGGUCUAUUUUGUUGGUUUGCAGACCGAAGUAAUGAUUAAUAGGGAUAGUUGGGGGUAUUUAUAUUCCGAUGUCAGAGGUGAAAUUCUUAGAUUUUCGGAAGAUAAACUUAUGCGAAAGCAUUUACCAAGGAUGUUUUCAUCA
rnacentral:rRNA from 1 species